GGCUGCAGUACAACCUAAUCACCUUGCUGCAUCAGGAAGCUGAAGAGCAUAAAAAGGUCAUGAAGGAUCCAAAUUCAGUUGUGCCAGCAGCAUAUGUUUCAUUUUGCUCCCGUUGGGGUGCAACAGUCUGUGCUCAGACCCAACAAACCAGCAAUCCAACAGUCUGGUUGACUGAAUGGGCUCCGGAACCUCGUGAUGUUUACUAGAAUAAUCUAUCAAUCCCAUUUGUUUCCCUCACCGUCAGGAGGUUGAUAAUUGCUGUGGCAUUCUUCUUCCUUAACUUCUUUUAUGUCAUUCCAAUAGCAUUCGUACAGUCUCUUGCAAACCUUGAAGGAAUAGAGAAGGCCCUUCCAUUUGCCCAUUAUUUCCAUUCUGUCACUUUAUGUCUACUUUUCUUCCUGCUAUGACACUAAAUGAUAUUUGCCCAUUAUUUGUGUGUACUUAUGUUAGCGAUGGUAGCUUAUUCAAAAAUAGAUAAAGUUGUUAGUACAAAUAUGUAGCUCUUGAACAUCUUAUUCACCUUCCUGUAUUUAUUAAGUUGCAUACCUGUACAUUAUGUUUUAUCAAA